rnacentral:rRNA from 1 species
UGGGGAAUAUUGCGCAAUGGGGGGAACCCUGACGCAGCCAUGCCGCGUGAAUGAAGAAGGCCUUCGGGUUGUAAAGUUCUUUCGGUAUUGAGGAAGGUUGAUGUGUUAAUAGCACAUCAAAUUGACGUUAAAUACAGAAGAAGCACCGGCUAACUCCGUGCCAGCAGCCGCGGUAAUACGGAGGGUGCGAGCGUUAAUCGGAAUAACUGGGCGUAAAGGGCACGCAGGCGGUUAUUUAAGUGAGGUGUGAAAGCCCCGGGCUUAACCUGGGAAUUGCAUUUCAGACUGGGUAACUAGAGUACUUUAGGGAGGGGUAGAAUUCCACGUGUAGCGGUGAAAUGCGUAGAGAUGUGGAGGAAUACCGAAGGCGAAGGCAGCCCCUUGGGAAUGUACUGACGCUCAUGUGCGAAAGCGUGGGGAGCAAACAGGAUUAGAUACCCUGGUAGUCCACGCUGUAAACGCUGUCGAUUUGGGGGUUGGGGUUUAACUCUGGCGCCCGUAGCUAACGUGAUAAAUCGACCGCCUGGGGAGUACGGCCGCAAGGUUAA